CCUACGGGAGGCAGCAGUGGGGAAUAUUGCACAAUGGGGGAAACCCUGAUGCAGCGACGCCGCGUGAGUGAAGAAGUAUUUCGGUAUGUAAAGCUCUAUCAGCAGGGAAGAAAAUGACGGUACCUGACUAAGAAGCCCCGGCUAACUACGUGCCAGCAGCCGCGGUAAUACGUAGGGGGCAAGCGUUAUCCGGAUUUACUGGGUGUAAAGGGAGCGUAGACGGCAUGGCAAGUCUGAAGUGAAAUGCGGGGGCUCAACCCCUGAACUGCUUUGGAAACUGUCAGGCUGGAGUGCAGGAGAGGUAAGUGGAAUUCCUAGUGUAGCGGUGAAAUGCGUAGAUAUUAGGAGGAACACCAGUGGCGAAGGCGGCUUACUGGACUGUAACUGACGUUGAGGCUCGAAAGCGUGGGGAGCAAACAGGAUU
rnacentral:rRNA from 1 species